GCGUCGGUGGUUCAGUGGUAGAAUACUCGCCUGCCACGCGGGUGGCCCGGGUUCGUUCCCCGGCCGACGCA
rnacentral:tRNA from 1 species